GAUGGUUUUGAAGAUAUUGUGGUUCUAGAGUGUAAGGACGAUGGCUGUAACAGUAAGACUGUUUACUCCGUUCCGAGGAUCAGGGUUCCGAUACGGGUUCAGGAUUGUACAGGGAUUGUGACGCUCACCCUAUUUGAGCGUGAGGUGCUUAGGCUGUUGAAGGUUAACGCGACUCAGCUGUUGGAUAAGAACCUUGAUUUAGCUAACGAAGGGAAUUUUCCGCAAGAACUCAAUGCUCUACUUAACAGGAAGUUUGCAUUCAAGAUAUCCAUCGGUUCAUUUAACAUAAAAAACAAAUCGGAUGGUUACUCUAUUUCAAAAUUAACAGACAAUCAAACUGUUAUUGGCGAACUAGAUAAAAUUUUCGAUGUC